rnacentral:rRNA from 1 species
GAUGAACGCUGGCGGCGUGCCUAAUACAUGCAAGUCGAGCGAACGGACGAGAAGCUUGCUUCUCUGAUGUUAGCGGCGGACGGGUGAGUAACACGUGGAUAACCUACCUAUAAGACUGGGAUAACUUCGGGAAACCGGAGCUAAUACCGGAUGAUAUUUUGAACCGCAUGGUUCAAAAGUGAAAGACGGUCUUGCUGUCACUUAUAGAUGGAUCCGCGCUGCAUUAGCUAGUUGGUAAGGUAACGGCUUACCAAGGCAACGAUGCAUAGCCGACCUGAGAGGGUGAUCGGCCACACUGGAACUGAGACACGGUCCAGACUCCUACGGGAGGCAGCAGUAGGGAAUCUUCCGCAGUGGGCGAAAGCCUGACGGAGCAACGCCGAGUGAGUGAUGAAGGUCUUCGGAUCGUAAAACGCUGUUAUUAGGGAAGAACAUAUGUGUAAGUAACUGUGCACAUCUUGACGGUACCUAAUCAGAAAGCCACGGCUAACUACGU